CCGUAGCCCAAGAGAUCGGGAUAACACCUGGAAACAGAUGCUAAUACCGGAUAACAACAGAUGAUGCCUAUCAACUGUUUAAAGAUGGUUCUGCUAUCACUCUUGGAUGGACCUGCGGUGCAUUAGCUAGUUGGUAGGGUAACGGCCUACCAAGGCGAUGAUGCAUAGCCGAGUUGAGAGACUGAUCGGCCACAUUGGGACUGAGACACGGCCCAAACUCCUACGGGAGGCAGCAGNU
rnacentral:rRNA from 1 species